CGGCGAGUGAAGCGGCAAUAGCUCAAAUUUGAAAGCUGGCGUCUUCGACGUCCGCGUUGUAAUUUGUAGAGGAUGCUUCGGCGAGGACUCCUGCCUAAGUUCCCUGGAAUGGGACGUCACAGAGGGUGAGAAUCCCGUAUGUGGCGGGCGGUCCAAGCCAUGUGAAGCUCCUUCGACGAGUCGAGUUGUUUGGGAAUGCAGCUCUAAAUGGGAGGUAAAUUUCUUCUAAAGCUAAAUACCGGCCAGAGACCGAUAGCGCACAAGUAGAGUGAUCGAAAGAUGAAAAGCACUUUGGAAAGAGAGUUAAAAAGUACGUGAAAUUGUUGAAAGGGAAGCGCUUGCAACCAGACUCGUUCGCAGUUGCUCAGCCGGCCUCUUGGCCGGUGUACUCUUCUGCGGUCGGGCCAGCAUCAGUUCGGGCGGCUGGAUAAAGGUGUCGGGAAUGUAGCUCCCCUCGGGGAGUGUUAUAGCCCGGCGCGGAAUGCAGCCAGCCUGGACUGAGGAUCUCGCUUCGGCAAGGAUGCUGGCGUAAUGGUUGUAAGCGGCCCGUCUUGAAACACGGACCAAGGAGUCUAACAUCUAUGCGAGUGUUUGGGUGCCAAACCCAUACGCGUAAUGAAAGUGAACGGAGGUGGGAACCCGCAAGGGUGCACCAUCGACCGAUCCUGAUGUCUUCGGAUGGAUUUGAGUAAGAGCAUAGCUGUUGGGACCCGAAAGAUGGUGAACUAUGCCUGAAUAGGGUGAAGCCAGAGGAAACUCUG
rnacentral:rRNA from 1 species